rnacentral:snRNA from 1 species
CGCGAAGCUACCGUGCGC